UAUAAUUUAAAGUAGGGCCUGCCCACUGAAUAAUUUUUGAAGGGCCGCAGUAUUUUGACUGUGCAAAGGUAGCAUAAUCAUUAGUUUUUUAAUUGAAAGCUGGAAUGAAUGGUUUAAUGAAAAAAUAACUUUUUUUAACUUAAUAAUUUAGAAUUUUAUUUUUAAGUUAAAAAGCUUAAAUAUAUUUAUAAGACGAGAAGACCCUAUAGAGUUUUAUUUAUAUUUAGAUAAAAAUUUUUAGAAUUAAAUAAUUUUAUUUGAUUAUAAAUUUGAUUGGGGUGAUUAAAAAAUUAAAUUAACUUUUUUUUUAUUUAUACAUUAAUUAAUG
rnacentral:rRNA from 1 species